rnacentral:lncRNA from 1 species
UCACAUUGUAAAAUAGCGUUCUUCUUUUGGUAUUUGUUCAGACAUUUGAAAACAUGACAAGAGCAGGCAGUGGGUCAGGUCUAGCCCACCGGCCAGAGUUUGCUGACCCCUGGUCUAGAUGACUCUAGUAUUUGAAAACUUAUUUUCAUUGAGUGAAUGUUAAAAAAGUAAAAAGAGUGAAUGUUAAAUUUUCCCUGUGGUCAACAAAGUCACUCGUAGAAGAUGCAGUGCUCAUAAGAGUAGAGCUUAGUUCACAGGUUCUAUCAAAACAUUGUGGGUAUUUGUCAGCCUGGGUGAUGCCAACGUAGGCAAGUACUUCAGUACAAGCUGAAAUUCCUUUUUUCUUUUAAAUCUUUUUAGGGCCAUAUUGACAGCAUAUGGAGGUUUCCAAGCCAGUGGUCCAAUCGGAGCCGUAGCCACCAGCCUACACCACAGCCACAGCAACUCCAGACCUGAAUCGCAUCUGUGACCUGUACCACAGCUCAUGGCAACCUGGAAUCCAUAACCCACUGAGUGAGGCCAGGGAUCGAACCUGCAUCCUCAUGGAUGCUAGUCAGAUUUGUUUCCUCUGAGCCAUGAUGGGAGCUCCCUAACCUGUAAUUCCUUAAGUAGUUAUUCUAAUGGAUUUUAAACUUUAAAUCAUAUUAUUUUCAAAUAUAGGCAUCAAAUGACUUUAUUAAGAGCUGGAUCAUUCUAUUUCAUGAUUCAGAUUGUAUCCCAUACUGUUGUUAAUUAUUGCAUACCAUGCUGGAGUCUAGCAACCCUGCCUGCCUCUCGACAGCCUGAUGGCCUGUGUUAAGGGGUUUGGAGCUUGGUUCUGGCUGGGAUUUUUGUUGCAGAAGCCAGGGGAAGGCAUGGGAAGGAGCACCAAAGCGUAUGUGUGGCACAUGGUAAAUGUGGGAUAAACUUGUUCCCUCUCUUCCCUUUCUUUUCCUCCCCACCCAAAUGUUCUGUAUAUUUGGUCAGCUCCAAAGCAUGCUGAGCCUCUUUGAAAUUGUUACUUUGGUUCUUUCCACAUGCAGUAAAGUCACUAACCUUUUUAAAUGGAAACAAAAACAAAGGCAGUUAGAAAGCAGUUUCCCCUCCUGGGUCACCAGCUUUCUCUUGCCGGAGACUCAGAUAAUCGGCAGUGCUGUGCUGAGACUGCGGCUGGGGCCAGAAGAGAGGCCCCAGGUCCAAGGCAGGCGCCUCCAGCUGGGUGCAGACACAGCUCUCCAGCCAGGAGGGGGGGUGCCUGGCCUGCUGGCUGCUCUGAGUUCCGAAGCUCCUGGGUGUAUCUUGGUUUCAGAGAUUCCAAUGGUAGGAAAGCCAGGAUCCUCUCCAGACGAGAGACCACCAGCCCCGAAGGUGACUGUGAUGCCGUGGAUCUUGGCUCUCGAGUGUGCUUUUGCUGUGUGUGUUGGAUGGAAGGCCCGUCUUGAGCAGACGUGUUUUUGUGUUGUUCAGAGGCUGAUGGUGCAUAACCACGUGUACUUUCUGGCCGGAGGUCUGGCAGGAUGUGAAGAGAGGCAGCCACUGACCUUUGGCUGGAGUUGA